UCAGAGUCAAAUCAGAAGAUGUGAAAACGACAGGUUUCUUCAAGUCGGUGGAUGUAGAAUUAAAAUGUUUACCCAAUUUGCCAAACAACAGUACAAAAAAAUGAGAAGCACCCAAUGUGACUGACACGGGACUGCAGUAAUUCUGUUAUUUGGAGCGGUGUGACUUAGCGAUUAUAGAACUACUUUUGGUAAUUCGACAGAACAGACGCAAUCAAGAUUUUUGGGACUGUAUGUUUUGUUGGGGAUACAAUGUUGCGAAUUUAUCGGAUAAGUUGAUCAGAAUUAUUGCCUUUCGUUGUUGACACUGUAAUGAUCAUCCACCUUUUCUCCAGCAGUACUACACCAAGGGAAUAGGAACAGAAUUCAAUUCGACACAGGCUACAACUUAGUUCUCGAGGGAUUCAAUAUGUGAAACAAUCCUCCAGAACAUUUUGUUUUUAGACCGGGUUUGAAAUACAAUUCACAGUUUCUCCCUUUAAAAGCUUGAUACUUGUAACAACUUGGACUUCACAAUGAUUUGUUUUGAAAUCUAGAGCUAGUGUGUUAUUGUAAGGGUGUAAUAUCAAACUCACUAUCACUGACAGCUGUUGACGUCACCAUUACGGAGAAUAGCUUCAUUUUACAAAAAAGCCUGAACCUUUUAAUUGACCUUAAAUUCCACUAGCUGUCAGUGAGAUUUGAACCAAUGGCCACAAAGCAUUCACCUGAAAGAAAGUGGAGGGGAAUACUGUCCUCUGUGGAGUUAUUUCAGUGAGGUAGUUAUUUUUUACUAGCACAGGUGCAAUGUGUUAAAUGACCUUUUCUCUGUGCUGUAGAUCUCUAUAAAAAGAAGAGAAAGACGAGGUGAGACAGAUGGCUGGGGUGAGCAAUGUAGGCUUGACUAAGUUACUUCAGCAGAGAGCUGGCAUGGAUGAAACGGGCUGAAUGGUUACCUUCCAAACCGUAGCCAUUCUAUGAUUCCAUGGGAUAGGGGUGUGGGACUGGUAUUGGUUGUUUAAAGUAUUCAGAACCAGUUUUAUCCUUUCUAUAAACAAAGUUAAAUUCUAUUCGUCCAGCAUGACAUUUCAACCAUGCUUUUAAAACCUUAAAAUAAACUUGAGCAACAUUUGUGAUUAACCAGUGAACGGUCUCUGGUUGUCACUAAUGUUUGCUUUCAGCCUUGUUGGAGAUUGUCAUGUUUGCAACACUCAGUGCAAGCUCUUAGCCUGAAGAACUGGCUCCAAGGGGACUGGUUAACAAUGGGUUAUGCCCUGACAGACACCACUAGUGAUAUCCCAAGUUCCAGUUUCAGCUUCUGUCCAGAAAAGGUCAGGUAAUAAUGAUUUACUGAUAUAGUGGUACAGAUAUUAGGGGAAGAAGGAGAGUUUGUUCAAUCUUGAUACCAAUUUGUUUAUAAGAACUUCAGCCCCAAUUUCUGAAGGCCUGUUGUCUAAUUCUUAUCACUGGAGAGGGUUGCUUGGAAAGUGACAUGUGGUCAAUCGUUAUUAACAUUAAUGUCUUGGUCUGGUCAAUACUAGUACAUAUAACUCCCAGUGGAAUGGGUAUGAUUGCAGCCACUACUGUAAACAGAGAAAAACUGAAAUAGUGGCACAGAUGCUAGUAUGUUGUCACACAAGUCAGUCUCUAUUUACAUGUGCACAGCUGUGACCAGCUGGUUUAGAGUCAGUCCUGAAGCUAAGAGACUCUCUGAAUCCCAUGUUUAUAUCUGUCAGUCAGGGCUUCUUGAUUAGCCCAGAUUAACAACACCAAUCAAGGAUCUCAUAGACAAUAAGAUCCACCUCAUUCCAAUCACUACAAAAACCAAGACUAUUUGGCCAAUUCUAGUGACCUUGCACUUCCUGUGCCUUAAAACUCCUCUUUGUAACAAUCUUCAUUUAUCUGAAUGAUAAUUUAUCCAAAACGGUAUCGUCACAAGUUUGACCCAUCUUUGGCUGUAGAUCUGAAUUUCAUGAAAGAUCAUCUUAAAGGGUCAAAGAACAGUGCAGGGACAGAGGAUCUCACAGAAAAAAUUCCAAGGAGCAGCAGGGGGUGUGUCUUAGUCACAUAAAGGGCCACUUGGUUCUUUGGUUUCCUACGACUUGGAAUCAAUAAAUAAAUUAUAGAAUAGAGGUCAAAUAUUACUCACAACAUCCUAAGAUAUCUGAAAUGCUGCUUCAGGAUGUCAAUAAUAAGCAAGGGUGUCAGUAGCCUGUGAAGACAAUAGCUUUGAUCAAUGGGUCAUACAAAACGUGUAAAUAAUUUGGAAAGUUGUGGAUUUCCACAUUUAGAAAUAUUUAUAGCAGAAUUGCAACUAAAGUGGUAUUGCAUGAUCAGUGCAAUAACAUGCAUUCAUGGCAAUGGGCCAUUGGAUUUCAACUGCACAGGUCGGGCAGAAAGCCAAAAACUGAAGAACCUUCAGCAUACUCACAGUUCCUAAGAAAUUGGGAACCAAUGCUUUGACAGAUUUCAUGGCUCUCAUAUUUGAUACAAAUUCAGUACAAAUUGGUAUUCUACAUGAUAAAGUUUAAUAAAAUGUUUAAAGUUAGUAAUACAUCAUGCCAUUUUACUGUUGUCACUUCCUUUACGAUGUAUUAUCCAUGACUGAGAUGAAGAGCAGAGGACCUGCUUCCUGGCUCCCAUUAUUGUUUCUGCAAGGAAUGAGAGAGAGUAGGUGUGUCUUGCUGCAUAUAUCCUGUUUACUCCUCAGAUUCAAUGGAAUAACCUUUGGCCAAAUGGUAGUUCCUUCUCGAAGCAACUACUUGAAUAUCAGCUGCAAUGCUGAACACUGUCUGAAAUUUUGCAAAGUAUUUCCCCUGCCAAGUUCCAUUUAUUAACUCUCAACCUGCCAGAGUUCCAGAGGAGGACAUGAAGAUGCAACAAAUAGAGAAAAUUACACUUUGAAUGGGAUAUAAAGAGGCUACAAGGAGAUAUCAAUUGAAUAAAAUCAAAGAGCUGAGAGUUGACAAUUGUCACACAAAGGCCAGUGGCAGAAACCUGUUACUUAAGGAGACAUCAUCCAAUGAUCAAAGGACAACUAAUGACGACAGCCAAAGAUCAACUCAAUACCUCCUUAUUGGCAGGAAAAAGAUUCUUCAAGUUGUUUUUCACUAUCCUUGGAAUCUUUAUUUCAAAUUUAUAGCCUUAGGAAUCAAGAUUAUGAACAUGAACUGUUGGAAUGGUUGUUUCUGUGGCAUUAUCACUGUGCUAGGCUGCCAGUUGACAUAUAGUAAUUCGGUAUAAUACUUUCUGCAUGGAAAGCAUCUCAUUUAAUUGAGUAAAUAUGCAAUACCUCUCUAAAAUUAAAAUAUAUAGACUAAUCAAUCCAACAUCUGAAUAUAAUGAGUUCACAGUGCAGAAUUAUUCCUGUUACUUUAUUAAAUUUUGGAUACGUUGAAUUUU